rnacentral:rRNA from 1 species
GCGCACCGAAAGAUGCUUGCCUCUUAAGCGAGUGGCGAACGGGUGAGUAACACGUGAAUAACCUACCGAAAAGCAGGGGAUAACAUUUGGAAACAGAUGCUAAUACCGUAUAAAACGUGCUGUCGCAUGACAAAACGUUAAAAGGUCCGUUUGGACCACUUUUUGAUGGAUUCGCGGUGCAUUAGUUAGUUGGUGGGGUAAAGGCCUACCAAGACGAUGAUGCAUAGCCGAGUUGAGAGACUGACCGGCCACAUUGGGACUGAGACACGGCCCAAACUCCUACGGGAGGCUGCAGUAGGGAAUCUUCCACAAUGGGCGAAAGCCUGAUGGAGCAACGCCGCGUGUGUGAUGAAGGCUUUCGGGUCGUAAAGCACUGUUGUAUGGGAAGAACGGUAAGGGUAGGAAAUGAUCUUUACAUGACGGUACCAUACCAGAAAGGGACGGCUAAAUACGUGCCAGCAGCCGCGGUAAUACGUAUGUCCCGAGCGUUAUCCGGAUUUAUUGGGCGUAAAGCGAGCGCAGACGGUUCGAUAAGUCUGAAGUGAAAGCCCACAGCUCAACUGUGGAAGUGCUUUGGAAACUGUCGAACUUGAGUGCAGUAGAGGUAAGUGGAACUCCAUGUGUAGCGGUGGAAUGCGUAGAUAUAUGGAAGAACACCAGUGGCGAAGGCGGCUUACUGGACUGCAACUGACGUUGAGGCUCGAAAGUGUGGGUAGCAAACAGGAUUAGAUACCCUGGUAGUCCACACCGUAAACGAUGAACACUAGGUGUUAGAGGGUUUCCGCCCUUUAGUGCCGAAGCUAACGCAUUAAGUGUUCCGCCUGGGGAGUACGACCGCAAGGUUGAAACUCAAAGGAAUUGACGGGGACCCGCACAAGCGGUGGAGCAUGUGGUUUAAUUCGAAGCAACGCGAAGAACCUUACCAGGUCUUGACAUCCUUUGAAGGUACUAGAGAUAGUGCUGUUUUCUUCGGAAACAAAGUGACAGGUGGUGCAUGGCCGUCGUCAGCUCGUGUCGUGAGAUGUUGGGGUUAAGUCCGCAACGAGCGCAACCCCUUAUGUUUAGUUGCCAGCAUUUCAGUUGGGCACUUUAGACAGACUGCCGGUGACAAAACCGGAGGAGGCGGGGACGACGUCAGGU